GGGCAGAGCUCAGUGGUAGAGCUCAUACCUCACAUAUUUGCAUGAGGUCCUGGAUUCAAUACCCAGCAACACA
rnacentral:tRNA from 1 species